rnacentral:ncRNA from 2 species
GGUGUUGACGCAAUGUGAUUUCU